UACGUAGGGGGCAAGCGUUGUCCGGAUUUACUGGGCGUAAAGGGCGCGUAGGCUGUGCUGUAAGUCAGGCGUGAAAGCCCCGGGCUCAACCUGGGAAUUGCGCUUGAUACUGCGGCGCUGGAAGGUGGGAGAGGAUGGCGGAAUUCCCAGUGUAGAGGUGAAAUUCGUAGAUAUUGGGAAGAACACCGGUGGCGAAGGCGGCCAUCUGGCCCAUUUUUGACGCUGAGGCGCGAAAGCGUGGGGAGCAAACAGG
rnacentral:rRNA from 1 species